rnacentral:lncRNA from 1 species
CCCAUCAAUUUCUAUUGCAGUGCUACUUACACUAAAAGAAAUAGAGAAAAUAAACUAAUUGUGGAAAAGAUGGUUAUGAACUUGAGUAAAAAUAACAUUAAUAUAUUGUACUAUUAGAUCAUUUUUUGUUAACCUUACUACAUAAUUUAAAUCAAACGGGACCAUUCAACAGUAGCCGAUAAUAUAAAAAGAGUACACUUCUUUUAAAUGAUUUAAAGUGAUUUAUUAUUGCGAAAGAAGAUUUAUUAUUGAUCACUCUGGAUUCAUAUAAGAAUUUUAAAAU